UACGUAGGGGGCAAGCGUUGUCCGGAAUCAUUGGGCGUAAAGAGCGUGUAGGCGGCCUGAUAAGUCGGCUGUGAAAGUCAAGGGCUCAACCCUUGAAUGCCGGCCGAUACUGUCAGGCUAGAGUCCGGAAGGGGCGAGUGGAAUUCCUGGUGUAGCGGUGAAAUGCGCAGAUAUCAGGAGGAACACCUAUGGCGAAGGCAGCUCGCUGGGACGGUACUGACGCUGAGACGCGAAAGCGUGGGGAGCGAACAGG
rnacentral:rRNA from 1 species